UUGAACGCUGGCGGCAGGCCAAACACAUGCAAGUCGAGCGGCAGCGCGGGGCAACCUGGCGGCGAGCGGCGGACGGGUGAGUAACGUGUAGGAAUCUACCCAGUAGCGGGGGAUAGCCCGGGGAAACUCGGAUUAAUACCGCAUACGCCCUAAGGGGGAAAGCAGGGGAUCUUCGGACCUUGCACUAUUGGCAGAGCCUGCGUUGGAUUAGCUAGUUGGUAGGGUAAAGGCCUACCAAGGCAACGAUCCAUAACUGGUCUGAGAGGAUGAUCAGUCACACCGGAACUGAGACACGGUCCGGACUCCUACGGGAGGCAGCAGUGGGGAAUAUUGGACAAUGGGGGCAACCCUGAUCCAGCCAUGCCGCGUGUGUGAAGAAGGCCUUCGGGUUGUAAAGCACUUUAAGUGGGGAGAAAGGUUCGGCAGUUAAUACCUGCCGGAAGUGAUGUUACCCACAGAAUAAGCACCGGCUAACUCUGUGCCAGCCGCCGCCGUAA
rnacentral:rRNA from 1 species